ensembl:lncRNA
CGAGACCUCAAGUCCAUGGUUCUGGAGAGCCUUUAGUCCAGCAAAGACUCAUAGGUAAACAGUCAAUUACAGAAGAGUGAGACAUGAAGCAUGAAUAAGACUUAAUCAGUUGAUGCUAAAUGUUCAAGAGGAAAUUAUGGCACACGGAAGGUUCGUGCCUAUGGACUGCAUUUCAUACCUCCAGUUACCACAGAGUGAAUUAUGGGAAAGGACAUGCGUGACCGGACGCGGACCUGACUCAGCUGCCUGUCAGUCACGUCUUCAAUCACGCCCUGGACGACUCAGUGGGAGGCGCUCUAGACCUGGCCGGACAUCUUAAAUUGUUAAACCCAACACCUCAGCGCUUGUGACAUUUUCCUUUCAGCCACCAGGAGCCGCUCCCUCUGAGCGUACCAUCACCUGAUUAAAGCUGCUGCUGUUUCUUUACUGUAGUGUGCCACUUGCAGCUCUUUGUUCAUCAUGCACAAGAACCUAGGAACCCGUCUGCGAGGGACCUUGCCACCCACGGGCUGUGCACAGAGCGCCCACCUCGCUGUGAAUCCCGGGGUGGGGAGCAGCAGGCAAGAAAGGGGUGUCCCCCUCACCGCACAGCCCUCCUUCGGAAGAGUGUGGGGCGGCUUCCAGAAGCAGCCAUGAGCAGUCCUCCCACCCACACCUGGCUGAGGCCCAAAGCUGUGUGUGGCCAAGUGACCAGGGACUGAAACUUAUGAAACCCGGAGCCAAAAUAAACCUUUCCUCCUUAGAAGGUCCUUUGGAUGGGUGGAGGUACAGCAACCAUCCUCAAUCAUGAGGAUGAAAGGCAGGUGCUACACAUCGUGCAGGAAGCAGACAGGAGUCUAGAUCUUGCUGAAACUCCU